UAAGAAUGAGUGUCCUCUGUAUAAGACAGU
rnacentral:piRNA from 1 species